rnacentral:other from 2 species
AUUAACCUGAAAUGUGCGAUAAUUCCUGUUAGUUUUGAACCUACAGAUACUUUAAACGGGAUUCCUACAUCAUCUGGUGGCUGUCAAGCCCUCACUCAUUAUGAGGAUUGGAAGGGAAGGCAAAAGCGCAGGUUGCGGUGACCCACCUAGCGCGGGCUAGGAGUCAAAAGGCAGGAACCGGCAUUUUGGGGGAUUA